CAGACUGUUCACUCAUGGCAGCUGCUGGGUUAUGAUUGGUGGAUACAGAGGCUGAAUGUCACACCAUCUGCCACAGCAUGUUGCUGUGUUGGAGUUUACAAGGGGGAAUGUUUUAUCAGCGCUGCUCCUGGCAUGGACUGUGGCCUGGCCUGCGUUGGCUGCACUAGCCCUCAGCAGACACACACACGCACACACGUAUAAAACUCAGCAUAUAUGAGCAUAUGAGCUGAUACAGGGUGAAUUUUCUAAUUUGAACUAUGAGCGUAAUGAAUUACAUUUCGGUUUAGCCAAACUGAUGGAGGGAAGUGGACGGGGGUGGAGAGAGAAAAAGAAGUGAGAGCGAGAGUUGGUUAAUUCUGUCUGAGCUGGAAGCCUCGGCCCCCAGUCAGAACAUGGGGGCUUGUCUCUUCUAGUUCCAGAGAGUGCAGUGAAAUGCCCUGUGGAGGAGACGCAUGGGCAGCAACCACAGGAAAGUCAGUGUGAUCAGCACUCACAUGCCUCUGUCAGGGGCGGGGGGAUUUUAAUAAGGGUAUUCAAAUGUAUUUGGUUGUGUUUGUGUAUGUGAUUUGGAUGUGUGUGUGUGUGUGUGUGUGUGUGUGUGCAGUUAGAAAAGAAAGAAUGUAGAUUGGCUCUGAUUAGACUGUGCAUCACAAACACA